ensembl:lncRNA
CCCUCAAAAAACUCCUUAUCACAAGGAACAGGUCACAUGCGAUCCCUGUGCUUGCUGCUUUCUUUCUUUCUUUUUGAUAAAAAAAGAAGAAGAAUGUAUUUACUUUCAUUGUUUUAAGAGCCUUUGUUUCACCACAGCGGGAUAAAAGCGAAAGAAUACACCGAGAAACAAAAGCGUCUCAUUUACUCGGAGCGAAACUGGUGUGCUGUACGACUCACGGCUCACCGCUCGGGUUAUUCGGCGGCGCUCUGGAUGCGGGUCUGCGCUCGGGUGUAUUAUUUCAUUAAGUGCUUUUCAGCCCGGGGGAGGGGGAGGGGGAGGGGGCUUCGUGGGAUGGAACCUCCAGGAUGUGUGUGACAAGGUCACGGCCUCUGACAAAUCUCCGCCUGGUCCUGAGUGGCCACAACACACACACACACACACACACACACACACACGAACGCAUGUGGAGACGAAAGAAGACUUUUAAGCUACUGUCAGAGGCGUCGAGAGAUCAGACGGCCGAGGAGAAGCGGAGAACGGAGAGGUGGAUCGACGUGGAGAAAAGAAGGAGGAGUGUAUUAAAGAGAGAGGGAGGCACUUAGGGCGGACGGGGCGGACGGGGCGGAGGAGGUGGGGGUGGAAGCCAGUUAGACAGAAUUCUUCAUUGUUCGGGCCGAGAGCUCGCCGUUCUGUUGAUCCCGACUGAUCCAAAGAAACAAAACUGCAUUGUUCCUCGCAGAUGGAAGCGAGUGUCGCCAAGGUGAAAUGACAUGAAAUUAAACAAGACAGUAUUUUGUAAACACCAACUCCCAGAAUUCCCUGCGGGAGUCGCUGAGUACAGCAUGACUCACCUGUCUUCAGAUUCGGCAGUCUUCAUUCCCCCUCGGUGUGCGAGAGUGUGUGUUCAACAGCAGGAUGUGUCUGCAAACACAAUCAUUAAAAAAGUACAAGGGUUAGCGUGUGUGUGAGUGCGUGAGAGAGAGAGAGAGAGAGAGAGAGAGAGAGAGAGAGAGAGAGAGAGAGAGAGAGGAUGUGGGUUAAUAUGUGUGACUUGGUGAGUGUGGGAUGAUUACGAGAUGAAAGGCGUGAUGUGCGGGGCUCGUAAUGAGACUGCGGGGUGAUUAAUACUGACACUGUGAGCUGCCUCUAAUUACUCUAAUUCAAUCAGUCCUAUUCCACACACACACACACACACACACACAUGGUCUUACUAUCCUUUGAGGACCCUCCAUUGACCUAAAUCUAAUCCUAACCUUAACCUCAGUAAGAUGCUGUGGUAAAAAAAAAAAAAAUGUAAACAACAACAACAACACAGUACCAACCAAAUGUCAGAUAUUUCUAACCUUGUGGGGACAUUUGGUCCCCAUCAAGAUAUAAAAACAUGUGUGUGUGUCAGUCCACAAGAAAAGCUAUUGAAGACAUCACUUUUUACAUCUUCUUUUAAAAGGAAAUGGAGUGGAUUUGUUUACAAAAUUCGUAAUGGUUUUAAUGGUUAUAAUGGGAAUUGUAUUAGUUUUAAUGGAAACGGUAAUGGACCCUGUGGGUCUCUACAGGUAAUUUGUUGCCUUCUAUUGGUGACAUGUUAUAUCUAGUGGAUACCAUUAAAGACUGGUAAAGGUUUUAACGGUCAGCUGAUGGUUUGUGAUGGUAGUCGUAGUGGAAACCAUUAGAAUUUCUGUGAUUGGUUUUUGUUGGGGUUUUUUCCAGCAGGGUUUCUGGGAGAGAAUAUUGAGAUAUACAUACGUAAAAAAAAAAAAAAAAAAAAAAACCUCAACCGAAUACUAAAUGUCAAACAUCCAGUGAGGCAACACUAA